CUUUGAUUUACACCACAGAGUGGUCAUAGAGCAUACGUGCCAGGUUCACUUCAGAAAAAACUAAACUGGAAGAUAAAUCUCAGAGACAAAUUUUAAGUGCACUGACUGCUCGUGGGCAUUCGGUUCAUAGAAAUUGAUUAAUGAAGUCCAAAUGAAAACCUCCCAAAUGUUUGGACACUUGGUCCUCAGCAUCAGCAGAUGGAUACAGAGGAGAGUGCUUGAAUGAUGAGAGAAGCCCAUUUUAUCAUAUCAGAAACAACUGGUUUGGUAAUUAGAUCAGAGGAUAUGAUUCAUGGAUAAACAACAGGAAGAGAAAAGAACUACCAAGUCACAAAACAAAGCGACACAAAAACAAGAAGACAUCAGAUAGACUUUUGGAAGAUGGAAGCACUGAUGUCACAGCAGUCGGAAACAUAAGAUAUAGACGUUCUUCUGCAGAAAAGGAGCCUCCCCUUUCAUCCGUCAUCUGGCCCUCAUUGUAGAGCAGCAGAGCAGCAGCUAGGAUGUCAGCUUCUCAUUACAAGGCCAUUCCAGCUUUCCUGCAGGCUGCAAAGGUCUGACUUGUCAAAUGUAAAAAUAGAAAACUGAAUUCCCUGGAUGGAGAAUACAGCUAGAGUUUGAGGCAGUAGGAUAUUUAACUUGUUUUUCUAUCAAUUAGAUAGAUUUCUUAGACCACAUAUACCCUUCAAACUCUCUAAAAUUAAAAACAUUAAAAUCUUAAUUGGUAACCAGCCCUU
rnacentral:lncRNA from 1 species